rnacentral:rRNA from 1 species
UCGAUUUGGAGUUUGUUGCCCUGAGUGAUGGGCUCCGAAGCUAACGCGAUAAAUCGACCGCCUGGGGAGUACGGCCGCAAGGUUAAAACUCAAAUGAAUUGACGGGGGCCCGCACAAGCGGUGGAGCAUGUGGUUUAAUUCGAUGCAACGCGAAGAACCUUACCUGGUCUUGACAUCCACAGAAUCUUGCAGAGAUGCGAGAGUGCCUUCGGGAACUGUGAGACAGGUGCUGCAUGGCUGUCGUCAGCUCGUGUUGUGAAAUGUUGGGUUAAGUCCCGCAACGAGCGCAACCCUUAUCCUUUGUUGCCAGCGGUUUGGCCGGGAACUCAAAGGAGACUGCCGUUGAUAAAGCGGAGGAAGGUGGGGACGACGUCAAGUCAUCAUGGCCCUUACGACCAGGGCUACACACGUGCUACAAUGGCGUAUACAAAGGGAGGCGACCUCGCGAGAGCAAGCGGACCUCACAAAGUACGUCUAAGUCCGGAUUGGAGUCUGCAACUCGACUCCAUGAAGUCGGAAUCGCUAGUAAUCGUGAAUCAGAAUGUCACGGUGAAUACGUUCCCGGGCCU